rnacentral:rRNA from 1 species
AGCGAACGCUGGCGGCAGGCCUAACUCAUGCAAGUCGAACGGACCCUUCGGGGUUAGUGGCGGACGGGUGAGUAACACGUGGGAACGUGCCCUUUGGUUCGGAACAACUCAGGGAAACUUGAGCUAAUACCGAAUGUGCCCUUCGGGGGAAAGAUUUAUCGCCAUUGGAGCGGCCCGCGUCUGAUUAGCUAGUUGGUGGGGUAAUGGCCUACCAAGGCGACGAUCAGUAGCUGGUCUGAGAGGAUGAUCAGCCACAUUGGGACUGAGACACGGCCCAAACUCCUACGGGAGGCAGCAGUGGGGAAUCUUGCGCAAUGGGCGAAAGCCUGACGCAGCCAUGCCGCGUGAAUGAUGAAGGUCUUAGGAUUGUAAAAUUCUUUCACCGGGGACGAUAAUGACGGUACCCGGAGAAGAAGCCCCGGCUAACUUCGUGCCAGCCGCCGCAGUAAAAC